CCUACGGGUGGCAGCAGUGAGGAAUAUUGGUCAAUGGACGCGAGUCUGAACCAGCCAAGUAGCGUGAAGGAUGACUGCCCUAUGGGUUGUAAACUUCUUUUAUAUGGGAAUAAAAUGUUCCACGUGUGGGAUUUUGUAUGUACCAUAUGAAUAAGGAUCGGCUAACUCCGUGCCAGCAGCCGCGGUAAUACGGAGGAUCCGAGCGUUAUCCGGAUUUAUUGGGUUUAAAGGGAGCGUAGGUGGAGGGUUAAGUCAGUUGUGAAAGUUUGCGGCUCAACCGUAAAAUUGCAGUUGAAACUGGUAGGCUAGAGUAUAGUAGAGGUGGGCGGAAUGCGUGGUGUAGCGGUGAAAUGCUUAGAGAUCACGAAGAACUCCGAUUGCGAAGGCAGUUCAC
rnacentral:rRNA from 1 species